rnacentral:rRNA from 1 species
GUAAAAUACAUCUGUUAGCAAGGGCCGGGCAAGACCGGUGCCAGCCGCCGCGGUAACACCGGCGGCCCGAGUGGUGAUCGUGAUUAUUGGGUCUAAAGGGUCCGUAGCCGGUUUGGUCAGUCCUCCGGGAAAUCUGACGGCUCAACCGUUAGGCUUUCGGUGGAUACUGCCAGACUUGGAACCGGGAGAGGUAAGAGGUACUACAGGGGUAGGAGUGAAAUCUUGUAAUCCCUGUGAGACCACCUGUGGCGAAGGCGUCUUACCAGAACGGGUUCGACGGUGAGGGACGAAAGCUGGGGGCACGAACCGGAUUAGAUACCCGGGUAGUCCCAGCCGUAAACGAUGCUCGCUAGGUGUCAGGCAUGGCGCGACCGUGUCUGGUGCCGCAGGGAAGCCGUGAAGCGAGCCACCUGGGAAGUACGGCCGCAAGGCUGAAACUUAAAGGAAUUGGCGGGGGAGCACAACAACGGGUGGAGCCUGCGGUUUAAUUGGACUCAACGCCGGACAACUCACCGGGGACGACAGCAAAAUGUAGC